AACGAACGCUGGCGGCAUGCCUAACACAUGCAAGUCGAACGAGACCUUCGGGUCUAGUGGCGCACGGGUGCGUAACGCGUGGGAACCCGCCCUUAGGUUCGGAAUAACUCCCCGAAAGGGGUGCUAAUACCGGAUAAUGUCUUCGGACCAAAGAUUUAUCGCCUUUGGAUGGGCCCGCGUUGGAUUAGCUAGUUGGUAGGGUAAAAGCCUACCAAGGCGACGAUCCAUAGCUGGUCUGAGAGGAUGAUCAGCCACACUGGGACUGAGACACGGCCCAGACUCGUACGGAAGGCAGCAGUAGGGGAUAUUAGACAAUGGGCGAUAGCCUAAUACAGCAAUGCCGCGGAAGUGAUGAAGGCCUUAGGAUUGUAAAGCUCUUUUACCCGGGAUGAUAAUGACAGUACCGGGAGAAUAAGCACCGGCUAACUCCGUG
rnacentral:rRNA from 1 species